ACAAAAGCCCGUCUAGCUCAGUUGGUAGAGCGCAAGGCUCUUAACCUUGUGGUCGUGGGUUCGAUGAAAGGAAAAGAUACUUUGUUAAUUGUAUAUAAAUCUCUUCAGUAAUAACAACAAUUUAUUACAUAAAAUUGCAUGACAACAAAUUAUGCAGCAGCUAAAGAAACAAAAUUAGAAGUAAUGUUCUCUGAUAAAACAAAACUAAUAAUGUAAAGAAAUGUUUAAUUAUAUAUAAUAGGUAGACAUUGUCUCAAGACUGAUG
rnacentral:lncRNA from 1 species